rnacentral:rRNA from 1 species
AUUCCAGCUCCAAUAGCGUAUACUAAAGUUGUUGCAGUUAAAAAGCUCGUAGUUGAAUUUCUGGUCUUGGACGGCGGUCUACCACAAUUGUGGUACGUACCAACUGUCCGAGUCCAUCCUCGGGGAAAACAUGCCUGUGAUUCAGUUCAUGGGUAUGGGAUCCUCGUCAUUUACUGUGAGCAAAAUAGAGUGUUCAAAGCAGGCUUAUGCCGUUGAAUACAUUAGCAUGGAAUAAUAAGAUAAGACCUUGGUCUAUUUUGUUGGUUUGUACUCCAAGGUAAUGAUUAAUAGGGAUAGUUGGGGGUAUUCGUAUUCAAUUGUCAGAGGUGAAAUUCUUGGAUUUAUGGAAGACGAACUACUGCGAAAGCAUUUACCAAGGAUGUUUUCAUCA